UACGUAGGGGGCAAGCGUUGUCCGGAUUUACUGGGCGUAAAGGGCGCGUAGGCGGUAGCACAAGUCAGUUGUGAAAUCUCCGGGCUUAACUCGGAAAGGUCAACUGAUACUGUGCGACUAGAGUGCAGAAGGGGCAACUGGAAUUCUCGGUGUAGCGGUGAAAUGCGUAGAUAUCGAGAGGAACACCUGCGGCGAAGGCGGGUUGCUGGGCUGACACUGACGCUGAUGCGCGAAAGCCAGGGGAGCGAACGGG
rnacentral:rRNA from 1 species